GGGGAUGAAAGGAUUUCGACGGGGAUCUUGAACCGUGAUAAGCGAGCAGCGGUGCGGGACCGCUAUAAAAUCCGCAUCUCAAAAAUAAACGAGAAUAAUACAGUUUUAGCUGCUGCUUAAUUAAGCAGCCGUCUUUUCCGAAAGUACCGCGGUUCGGACAAGGGCGUGGAUUAGCGGUGAACGUGAACGGAUAAGCGCCUCAUAGUCCGUCAUGAAUAAUGGGGCUGCCCAAAGCUGAAGCCUGCCGUUUGGCGUCGGUCGAGGGGAGAACUAAAAAAGCGGAUACGCUCGUAGAAGGUUGCGGGAAUGGGUUUUCGGACGCGGUUUCGAUUACCGCCAUCUCCACCA
rnacentral:tmRNA from 1 species